AGUGAACGCUGGCGGUAGGCCUAACACAUGCAAGUCGAACGGCAGCACAGUAAGAGCUUGCUCUUACGGGUGGCGAGUGGCGGACGGGUGAGGAAUACAUCGGAAUCUACUUUUUCGUGGGGGAUAACGUAGGGAAACUUACGCUAAUACCGCAUACGACCUACGGGUGAAAGCAGGGGAUCUUCGGACCUUGCGCGACUGAAUGAGCCGAUGUCGGAUUAGCUAGUUGGCGGGGUAAAGGACCACCAAGGCGACGAUCCGUAGCUGGUCUGAGAGGAUGGUCAGCCACACUGCACCUGAGACACGCUCCAGACUCCUACGGGCGGCAGCAGUGGGGAAUAUUGUACACUGGGCGCCACCCUGACCCCGCCAUACCGCGUGCGUGAGGAAGGCCUUCGGGUUGUAAAACCCUUUUGUUGUGAUAGAAAAGCACCAGAUUAAUACCCCGCUGUUCUGACGGUACCCAACGAAUAAGCACCGGCUAACUUCGUG
rnacentral:rRNA from 1 species